GUUCGGAAUUUUUUAUUGAGAAUUUUUUCUUAUUAGUCAUACCUUGAGGUUUCACUAAUUUCCACGGACUCUCAACAGGUUUAUCUUUUCUUGUUUUUAAAGGGGAUUUAUUCCUAAAGGGAACUCUGGACCCGCCCAUUUUUUUAUAAUUUGGAGUAUGGAUCCCUUUUUCUCCUUUUUUAUCUAUCCUGAAAUUAUUUUACAAUUAUUAUUAUAGCCACCAUUCUGAUUAAACCUAUUUGGCUUAUUAGUAAUAGAAUGGAAAUUCAAAUCUCUAUCAUUCUUAUCCCUGACAUACUUUCUAUUUUUUGUUUCUGCUAUUUUCUCAUCAAUUUUAUUAACUUUUUCAAGUAAAAAUCUUUCUUUGUUUUUAAAAA